AGGUAAUUAUAUUUAGCUUUGUUAUAAUUAAUUAGCUUUUAUUUUGUAAUUAUAUGUUAAUUUUUGUAUUAUGAUUUAUUCUUAAUGGAUAUUUCAAUAUUUAGCAAUUUUUAUUAUUAAUUUAUGUUCAAGGGAAUUUGGAUUUAGAUAAUUUAAAUAUUGAUGUAUAAAUUUGUGCCAGCAUAUGCGGUUAUACAAUUGUCAGGAGUUAAUUUUUUUGAUUAUUAUUUAUUAUGUAUUUAUGAAUUUAUUUAUUAAAUAUUUGGGUGGAAUCUUUUAUUUAAUUUAUGGUUUUGGUUAAUUAGAUAAAUUUGAGUAUUAGAAUUAAAACUAGGAUUAGAUACCCUAUUAUUCUAAUUGUAAUUUUAUGGUCUUGUUAUUAAUAGUUAUGUUCUUUAAAUUAAAAAGGCUUGGCGGUGAUUUAAUCCUUUCAGGGGAACCUGUCCUUUAAUUGAUAAUCCACGUUAUUUAUUACUUUAAUUUUUGGUUUGUAUAUCUCUGUUAUUGAAUAUCUUUUUAGGGUAUAUUCUUAUAUUUUUAUGUAAAAGAUAACAAGUCAAGGUGCAGUUAUAUUUGAGGUUGAGAUGGGUUACAUUUAAUUUAUUUAUUAGAUUUUAGUUUUUAUUUAUUAGAUUGAAAUUGGAUUUGAUUGUAAAUUUUAUUACUUUAUAAUAUUGAUUUUGGCUCUAAUUCAUGUACAUAUCGCCCGUCACUCCCUCCUUUAAAGUGGGAUAAGUCGUAACAAAGUAAUUUUAUCGGAAGAUAAGGUUAGAAUUAU
rnacentral:ncRNA from 1 species